rnacentral:rRNA from 1 species
UACGGAGGGUGCGAGCGUUGUCCGGAUUUAUUGGGUUUAAAGGGUGCGUAGGUGGCUUAAUAAGUCAGUGGUGAAAUACGGUUGCUCAACAAUCGAGGUGCCAUUGAUACUGUUAAGCUUGAAACAAUUGGAGGCUGCCGGAAUGGAUGGUGUAGCGGUGAAAUGCAUAGAUAUCAUCCAGAACACCGAUUGCGAAGGCAGGUGGCUACGAUUGGUUUGACACUGAUGCACGAAAGCAUGGGGAGCAAAC